CACGACACUCACAGCAAUCAGAUCUCCCUCACUCUCGGUUCUCUGACUCCGGCCACACACGGCCGCCGCAGACCUUUCCCGGCGAAGAACCGUCGGCCACCAUCCAUCUCUCUCGAACUCCCCUCUCUCUAACAAUUAAACAGAAAACACACACACACAUCCCUUUCAGCGGCGCAUAACUCACACACACAGACAGAGCGGUCCCUCAUCUCCGGUCCUCCUCCGCCGUAGCAGCAACCGCGGAGAACCCACGGCCGCCGCUUCACGCCCUCACUUCUCCCUCAAACCCCAUCUCUCUGUCUUACCAUCAGAUCCGCUCCCUUCCUCUCAGAUCGAAAACCUCAGCACCGUCGCGGCGGCUCCAUCCCCGACGAAGCAACACCCGACAGACAACUCUCUCUCUCUCUCUCUAAAUUCUGAAGACGGCGCAGCUAUAGGCUGCGCUUCCACCCCGGUCUCGCUCCUCUCUGUCUCCGGCAGACAACGGCGACAAGGCCGCCGCCUCGCCUCUCACCCCUCUCUGGCUUUGACGGACAACAGCUGUCAGGCCGCCGCCGCCGCUGCCGAGCUCCGAUAUCAGAAAAUACUCUCCUCCGAUCUCGCUCGUCUCACACAACAGCAGCAAGAAACCAACAAAAAAAAUCAUGGCAAAAUCGAGUUCAACCCAAGAUCUCCAUUUCCACUCAUUUCUUCUCAUAUAAAACAGGCUGUACAUAGUGAUUCUAAGUCCUAUUGUUUGUAAAAACAUGAACUUGAAAUUUUACUAACAAAGUAAACAUGUAUGCAUUUCUGACUUCGUUAUCUGUACAAAAAAAUGUUGUUCUUCUUAUGGAUUAAUGUUUAGUGAAAUACACAUAUGCAUGUAUAUACAUAUAUCUUGUUGAAACGAUGUAAUGAGUGUAUGCUUUUGCUUUCAGUUUAGUGAACCUUCAAGAAUGCUGUCAAGCUACAAGAUGAAUUAGAGGUAUAACCUUUGGGAGGAAUUCUGCUGUAUUGUUGAGCGGUGAAGGCUUGCAUCAGUUUAGCUGGUGAAAUUCUUAGGCGAGAGAGCUCUUUCUUGUGAGAUUAGAGUAUAUGCGUGUGAAUUGAUUUGUGAGAAGUAGGGCUGUCUAGUUGGUUAUCGGGUUUUGGAUAAU
rnacentral:lncRNA from 1 species